ensembl:lncRNA
UUUCCCUUGGUUUAAAAACCCUGUCAGUUGUUUUCUCAAUAGUUCAAUCUCUCUGUCAUGCAAUCUCACUCUAGAGUGCUUGUUUUGUGUUUACAACUACAUAUCACUUUGUCACCACCUAGAAUACUUCAAAAUGAGAAGAUCCUGCCAUGGUAAAGACUACUGGGUGGACAAAGUGUAAAGGAGGAGAAAUAACUCCCACCAUGCAGCAGGACACCUUCAGCUGGGGUCUUUAUAAUGCAGGUGUAGAUGGCCAAGGAAGUUGCACGGAACUUUCCUCCCAAAUUGAUAUGGAACCUUCAAAAACACAUUGAGCAACUGCAGAAAAUAAAUGGCUGAGGAUAUACUAAACAUGUCUGAGUUCCACAAAGCCAAGAACUGCUUCAUGUGUGCCACUGAUAAAGAACCUGGAUGUGGCCCAAAGACUGACUGGGAAUGAAGACAAAAGAGUUCAACAGAGUAAAGAACACAAACAGGAAGUGCAGUCUUUGUUGUUGAAAAUGUAUGCAUUACCCCAUCCACACUGAAGAGGCUCUGACAUGUACAUCAACCAGGGAUAAAGAGAAAGUUAACAUGGUGAAUUGUUUCAUACUGAACUUCAAUUAAGUGUCUGACAUGUUGGAAAAGAUUAAAGGUCAACAAUUUGUCAAUAUUAUAUUUUUAUUCAUUGAUUUACUGGCCACCGUUACUGUGGUUCCAUGUUCAGUACAUGUAUUGGCCAACAAACCCACUGCAGCCCACCUCACCAGCUUACUCUCCAUCCCUGUCCAGACUACCUCACCAGCUCACUCUCCAUCCCUGCUUUAGACAAUUAAUAACAUGACUCUCGUUCUUUGCCCUUAUCCUUUAUGGUUGAUAUUAAUGACAAAAGGACCUAAUUAUCUGUCUC